rnacentral:rRNA from 1 species
UACGGAGGGGGCGAGUGUUGUUCGGAAUUACUGGGCGUAAAGGGCGCGCAGGCGGCAUGGCAAGUCGAGUGUGAAAUCCCUUGGCUUAACUAAGGAAUGGCGCUCGAAACUACCGCGCUAGAGGGCGGGAGAGGGAAGUGGAACUCUCGGUGUAGGGGUGAAAUGCGUAGAUAUCGGGAGGAACACCAGUGGCGAAGGCGACUACCUGGCCUGUUCUUGACGCUGAGGCGCGAAAGCUAGGGGAGCAAACGGG